rnacentral:rRNA from 1 species
UACGUAGGGGGCAAGCGUUGUCCGGAUUUAUUGGGCGUAAAGAGCGUGUAGGCGGCCAGGUAGGUCAGCUGUGAAAACCCGAGGCUCAACCUCGAGACGCCGGUUGAAACCAUCUGGCUAGAGUCCGGAAGAGGAGAGUGGAAUUCCUGGUGUAGCGGUGAAAUGCGCAGAUAUCAGGAAGAACACCCGUGGCUAAGGCGGCUCUCUAGUACGGUACUGACGCUGAGACGCGAAAGCGUGGGGAGCGAACAGG